CCCAAACGCCUUUGCGGCCGCAUCCAGGCUUUGCCCGCGCCAGGCUAACACGUGUAGAAGAUUUUAGCAAUGGCGUGGAAAUUGAAAGAGCUUCAAUAAAAGCCAACAUUAAAUCGAGUUUUAGAUCAAAAUAUUCGUUCUAAAACCUUUAUUUUUUCGAUUUUAUCCAAGUAUAACCACUUAUCUUUAAAGAAUGGACUUUCUUGUGUUCUUAGCCGCUCCAAAAGGGCUGCAAAUUCCUUCAGAAGAUGCUAUUCUGUGAAGCUUACUGAAUUACAACACGUGGUUGAAGCUUGAAAUGUGAUGGUCUUUUGGCGUCGAUACAAGCGCCGUAAUCUGUUCAGAAGCUGCUGAAAAUACUCUGGUGUGGCUGCUCCUAAGGUAUUUGGGCUUGUUCUUGUGUCGAUAUAGUUUAAAUCUUGAUGUAUGAAGGAUAUAUCAUGUCUCAUUUUGCUGGGGUUU